GAUGAAGAACGCAGCGAAAUGCGAUAAGUAAUGUGAAUUGCAGAAUUCAGUGAAUCAUCGAAUCUUUGAACGCACAUUGCGCCCCCUGGUAUUCCGGGGGGCAUGCCUGUCCGAGCGUCAUUACAACCCUCAAGCUCAGCUUGGUGUUGGGCCCCGCCGCCCCGGCGGGCCCUAAAGUCAGUGGCGGUGCCGUCCGGCUCCGAGCGUAGUAAUUCUUCUCGCUCUGGAGGUCCGGUCGUGUGCUCGCCAGCAACCCCCAAUUUUUUUCAGGUUGACCUCGGAUCAGGUAGGGAUACCCGCUGAACUUAAGCAUACAAUAAGCGGAGGA
rnacentral:misc_RNA from 1 species